UACGUAGGGGCCUAGCGUUGUCCGGAUUUAUUGGGCGUAAAGAGCGUGUAGGCGGCCAGGUAGGUCUGCUGUGAAAACUCGAGGCUCAACCUCGAGACGUCGGCGGAAACCAUCUGGCUAGAGUCCGGAAGAGGAGAGUGGAAUUCCUGGUGUAGCGGUGAAAUGCGCAGAUAUCAGGAAGAACACCCGUGGCGAAGGCGGCUCUCUGGGACGGUACUGACGCUGAGACGCGAAAGCAUGGGGAGCGAACAGG
rnacentral:rRNA from 1 species